GAGGAAACCACGUAGAAAGAUUGAAUAGCAGCUACUGUUUACGUUAUGUGAUGUUAAUCGUGGCCAUUAUAUCGAUAGAAACCAUGAGGGGCUUAUGAAAUUGUUUAGCACCUUUUAAUGUCCAACGUCACUAAUUGCGUGCCGGAAUUUUUUAUUGACCGUUCUCUAAGCUUGAAUCAAACAUCAAGUUAGCUACUUUUUGGUUAACAACAAUAAAGCCAUGUCACCGAUAAGUUCAUACGAAUAAAAUAUUCAUUGAAUGAAUCUAGUUUAGA
rnacentral:lncRNA from 1 species